rnacentral:rRNA from 1 species
AUUGAACGCUGGCGGCAUGCCUUACACAUGCAAGUCGAACGGUAACAGGUCUUCGGAUGCUGACGAGUGGCGAACGGGUGCGUAAUACAUCGGAACGUGCCCAGACGUGGGGGAUAACGAGGCGAAAGCUUUGCUAAUACCUCAUACGAUCUAAGGAUGAAAGCAGGGGACCGCAAGGCCUUGUGCGGUUGGAGCGGCCGAUGGCAGAGUAGGUAGUUGUUGGGAUAAAAGCUUACCAAGCCGACGAUCUGUAGCUGGUCUGAGAGGACGACCAGCCACACUGGGACUGAGACACGGCCCAGACUCCUACGGGAGGUAGCAGUGGGGAAUUUUUGACAAUGGUCGAAAGCCUGAUCCAGCAAUGCCGCGUGCAGGAUGAAGGCCUUCGGGUUGUAAACUGCUUUUGUACGGAACGAAAAGGCUCUGGCUAAUACCUGGGGCACAUGACGGUACCGUAAGAAUAAGCACCGGCUAACUACGUG